rnacentral:rRNA from 1 species
ACCUGAGAGUAGGCAAGACUACCCGCCAAAUUUAAGCAUAUUAAUAAGCGGAGGAAAAGAAAAUAACCAUGAUGGCCUUAGUAAUGGCGAAUGAAACGGCCAGAGCCCAGCACCGAACCGCCGGCCAUCUCGGUCGCGUGGAAUGUGGUGUUUGGGA